GACAGAGGGUGCAAACGUUGUUCGGAAUUACUGGGCGUAAAGGGCUCGUAGGCGGCCAACUAAGUCGGACGUGAAAUCCCCAGGCUCAACCUGGGAACUGCGUCCGAUACUGGAUGGCUUGAAUCCGGGAGAGGGAUGCAGAAUUCCAGGUGUAGCGGUGAAAUGCGUAGAUAUCUGGAGGAACACCGGUGGCGAAGGCGGCAUCCUGGACCGGCAUUGACGCUGAGGCGCGAAAGCUAGGGGAGCAAACGGG
rnacentral:rRNA from 1 species